rnacentral:rRNA from 1 species
GAUGAACGCUGGCGGCGUGCCUAAUACAUGCAAGUCGAGCGAACAGACGAGGAGCUUUCUCCUCUGACGUUAUCGGCGGACGGGUGAGUAACACGUGGAUAACCUACCUAUACGACUGGGAUAACUUCGGGAAACCGUAGCUAAUACCGGAUAAUAUAUUGCACCGCAUGGUUCACUCGUUAAAUACGGUUUUUCUGUCCCUUAUAGAUUGAUCCGCGCCGCAUUCGCUAGUUGGUAAAGUAACGGCUUACCCAGGCAACGAUUCGUAGCCGACCUGAGAGGGUGAUCGGCAACACGGGAAAGAAGACACGCAGCAAAAUCCGAAGGGAGGCAGGAGGAGGAAAUCUUCCGGAAUGAGCGAAAGCGUGAAGGAGAAACGGCGCGAGAGUGAGGAAGGUCAUCGGAUCGUAAAACUCGGUGAUCAGGGAAGAACAAAGGUGUAAGUAACUAUGCAAGAAUGGAAGGUACCGAAGCAGAAAGCCACGGCUAACUACGU